rnacentral:sRNA from 1 species
UUUUUUUCUUUUUUCUUUUUCUUUUUUUUU